rnacentral:lncRNA from 1 species
GGGAGACAGAUAGAGAAGUAAAUAAAAGAGUACAAGAGAAGAGAAACGAGAGAAAGGUUUACUUUGGGCAUGGCUUAAUAAGAAGUCAUAGAAACAAAAGGACUCCCACGUGUCUGGAUACCACACAUGCAUGUACACGCACAUAGCUGCACACAAUGGAAACCAGGUGGAGAAAAUCAGCUGACGGGGAGGAUGACUUGAUGAUUGACAUUGUCUCUAUUUUUUGUCAGUUUUUCUUUUUGAAAGUUCACUCCUGGAGAGAAAUUUUACCUCUGGAUGAAUCACAUCUUGAAUCUCAUGCAUUUAGAUAAUAUUUAGGAAGAGUGUCUUAGCCUCUGGACUACUGCCCAAUGAAGACAGCUAUGAAAUGCAUGGAUAACUUGUUAAUCAAUAUUUGUCGUAUGUACUGGCAGCAUCAGCAUCAGCUGGGAGCUUGUGGUGGUCUCCAGGUCAGACCUCAUGAAUCAGGAUAUCAGAGAGUGAGACCCAGGAAAGUGUGCUUUACUAAGUUCUUCAGGUGAUUCUUGAGUACUUUAAAGGUUGAGAAGCACUGUCUUAGGAUGUGGAGGAAUGAAGCUAGAGUGGCUGAGCUCUGUCAUUGACUAACCAUAUAAUCAUCAGAAAGUUACUUACCUUCUCUGGACCUU